rnacentral:rRNA from 1 species
CGGAGAGGUAGCAUGAGAAACGGCUACCACUUCUAAGGAAGGCAGCAGGCGCGCAAAUUACCCAAUCCUGACUCAGGGAGGUAGUGACAAGAAAUAACAAUAAACCGGCUUAUGCCGGUUUAAUUGGAAUGAGUACAAUUUAAACAUCUUAACGAGGAACAAUUGGAGGGCAAGUCUGGUGCCAGCAGCCGCGGUAAUUCCAGCUCCAAUAGCGUAUACUAAAGUUGUUGCAGUUAAAAAGCUCGUAGUUGGAUUUCUGCGGGGACGGAGCGGCCGGACGCAACUUGCGUCUCGAGCUAGCGCUUUCCCCGCAUCCUGCCGCGAACCGUGCUACCAUUAGUUUGGUGGCGCUGGGGAUCGGCUCGAUUACUUUGAGAAAAAUAGAGUGUUCAAAGCAGGCCACACGCCUUGAAUAAGUUAGCAUGGAAUAAUGACUAAGGACUUUGGUUCUUUUCGUUGGUGUUCGGGACUGAAGUAAUGAUUGAUAGGGACAGUUGGGGCGGUCCGUAUUCCAAAGCGAGAGGUGAAAUUCUUAGACCUUCGGAAGACGAACAGCUGCGAGAGCGUUCCGCAAGGAUGUUCCCUUUGAUCAAGAACGAAAGUUGGGGGAUCGAAGACGAUCAGAUACCGUCGUAGUCUCAACUAUAAACUAUACCAGCUAGGGAUCGGCCAACGUUUAAUUAUUCGACUUGGUCGGCACCUUAUGAGAAAUCAAAGCAUCUGGGUUCCGGGGGGAGUAUGGUCGCAAGGCUGAAACUUAAAGGAAUUGACGGAAGGGCACCACCAGGCGUGGAGCCUGUGGCUUAAUUUGACUCAACACGGGAAAACUUACCAGGUCCAGACAUAGGAAGGAUUGACAGAUUGAUAGCUCUUUCUUGAUUCUGUGGGUGGUGGUGCAUGGCCGUUUUUAGUCGGUGAAGUGAUUUGUCUGCUUAAUUGCGUUAACGGACGAGACCCCAGCCUGCUAAAUAGCGCGGCCGAGCUUUGCUCGGUACGAGCUUCUUAGAGGGACCAUGAUGCGCGAUAGCACAAGGAAGUUUGGGGCAACAACAGGUCUGUGAUGCCCUUAGAUGUUCCGGGCCGCACACGGGCUACACUGGCGCCUGCAACGAGCAUAUCAGCUGGCCCGAGAGGGUCUUGGCUAAUCUUUGGAACCGGCGCCGUGCUUGGGAUUGACCAUUGCAAUUGUUGGUCAUGCAACGAGGAAUGCCUUGUAAACGCGAGUCAUCAGCUCGCAUUGAAUACGUCCCUGCCCUUUGUACACACCGCCCGUCGCUCCUACCGAUGAAUGUUCCGAUGAAAUUUUCGGAGAGCGCCGGAGAACGGGGCUCUGCCCUGCAGAACUGGAGGCUCAAAGUCACUUAAAUCUGAACAUUUCGAGGAAGGAGAAGUCGUAACAAGGUAACC